ACGGAAGGCAGCAGUGGGGAAUAUUGGACAAUGGGCGCAAGCCUGAUCCAGCGACGCCGCGUGAGUGAAGAAGUAUUUCGGUAUGUAAAGCUCUAUCAGCAGGGAAGAUAAUGACGGUACCUGACUAAGAAGCCCCGGCUAACUACGUGCCAGCAGCCGCGGUAAUACGUAGGGGGCAAGCGUUAUCCGGAUUUACUGGGUGUAAAGGGUGCGCAGGCGGCAAAGUAAGUCAGAAGUGAAAGCCCGUGGCUCAACUGCGGGACUGCUUUUGAAACUGCUAAGCUAGAGUACUGGAGGGGUAAGCGGAAUUCCUAGUGUAGCGGUGAAAUGCGUAGAUAUUAGGAAGAACACCGGAGGCGAAGGCGGCUUACUGGACAGAAACUGACGCUCAGGCACGAAGGCGUGGGGAGCAAACAGGUUAGAUACCCUGGUA
rnacentral:rRNA from 1 species